rnacentral:misc_RNA from 1 species
CGCACAUUGCGCCCCUUGGUAUUCCGAGGGGCAUGCCUGUCCGAGCGUCAUUAAGCCCAUCAAGCUCUGCUCGGUAUUAGAUCGUGCCGGUAACGGCAGGUCUUAAACUCAGUGGCGACGCCGCCCGGCUUCGAGCGUAGUAAUUGUCUCUCGCUAUGAGGUCGUGUGAAGGUCGAGCCAACAACUCUAUCUUAUACUAGGUGGACCUCGGAUCAGGUAGGAAUACCCGCUGAACUUAA